GCUAUCAAAAAGAUUUUUGGUAUUGAAAUCAUAUUUCUUGAUACUAGUUGAAUGUAGGCUCUAAUUUGAUUGUUUAGAGCUUAGGCUCUAUACAAACCGCACCCUAAAAAAAAACAUAGAAAAUGAGAGAUUUUAGGAAGAAUUUAAUUGGGACCCAUACUAUUUAGUCCCUAUCGAUCAUCCAUCCAAAGUGGCUACAUCAGUUUUGUUUCACAUUAUGGCUUCCAUUCCCACUAAGGGUGGUAAUGGAUCGAGUUUGGCUGCACCGAGGCUCAUACCCGAAUGUAUUUGGGUCCAGGUUUUGGACCCGGAUCCGACCCGUCAU
rnacentral:lncRNA from 1 species